rnacentral:rRNA from 1 species
CCUACGGGAGGCAGCAGUGGGGGAUAUUGCACAAUGGGGGAAACCCUGAUGCAGCGACGCCGCGUGGGUGAAGAAGCGCCUCGGCGCGUAAAGCCCUGUCAGCCGGGAAGAAAAUGACGGUACCUGAAGAAGAAGCCCCGGCUAACUACGUGCCAGCAGCCGUGGUAAUACGUAGGGGGCAAGCGUUAUCCGGAUUUACUGGGUGUAAAGGGGGCGCAGACGGCGAUGCAAGCCAGGAGUGAAAGCCCGGGGCCCAACCCCGGGACUGCUCUUGAAACUGCGUGGCUAGAGUGCAGGAGUGGCAGGCGGAAGUCCUGGUGUAGCGGUGAAAUGCGUAGAUAUCAGGAGGAACACCGGUGGCGAAGGCGGCCUGCUGGACGGCAACUGACGUUGAGGCCCGAAAGCGUGGGGAGCAAACAGGAUUAGAUACCCCGGUAGUC